UGCCUGACUGCAUGCUUAGCUGGGUCUCAUGUCUCGCAGCUCCUUCAACUAAAAGCAGUUUAACUGGGAUGCAACAUGGGAAUCUCCAUAUAGCCAGGCCUCCUCUUCAUCAGUUAUCAACAUUUUGGUUUGAGAAGUUGUAGAAGGAUGGAAAUUCUGACACAUGCAGCAGUGAGGAUGAACCUGAAAGACAUUAUGCGAAGUGAAACAACCUGAUCACAAACGGACCAAUACGGCCAGUGGUUAAGAAUCUGCCUGCCAAUGCAGAGGACGUGGGUUCAGUACCUAGUCCGAGACGAUUCCACAUGCUGCAGAGCAACUAAACUCAUGCACCAUACCUACCGAAGCCCUCACGCUCAAAAACUCCCCAACAAGAGAAGUGAUUGCAACGAGAAGUCCACUCACUGCAACUAGAGAAAGUCCUCCCGAAACAACAAAAACCCAGACGCAGUCAAAAAUAAGUAAAGUAAAAUAAAAAUUUUUA